rnacentral:rRNA from 1 species
UACGAAGGGGGCUAGCGUUGCCCGGAAUCACUGGGCGUAAAGCGCACGUAGGCGGACUCUUAAGUCGGUGGUGAAAUCCUGGAGCUCAACUCCAGAACUGCCUUCGAUACUGGGAGUCUCGAGUCCGGGAGAGGUGAGUGGAACUGCGAGUGUAGAGGUGAAAUGCGUAGAUAUUCGCAGGAACACCAGUGGCGAAGGCGGCUCACUGGCCCGGUACUGACGCUGAGGUGCGAAAGCGUGGGGAGCAAACAGG